rnacentral:rRNA from 1 species
GAUGAACGCUGGCGGCGUGCCUAAUACAUGCAAGUCGAGCGAACAGAUGAGGAGCUUGCUCCUCUGACUUUAGCGGCGGACGGGUGAGUAACACGUGGAUAACCUACCUAUAAGACUGGGAUAACUUCGGGAAACCGGAGCUAAUACCGGAUAAUAUAUUGAACCGCAUGGUUCAAUAGUGAAAUACGGUUUUUCUGUCACUUAUAGAUGGAUCCGCGCCGCAUUAGCUAGUUGGUAAGGUAACGGCUUACCAAGGCAACGAUGCGUAGCCGACCUGAGAGGGUGAUCGGCCAAACGGGAACUGAGACACGGUCCAGACUCCUACGGGAGGAAGCAGUAGGGAAUCUUCCGCAAUGGGCGAAAGCCUGACGGAGCAACGCCGCGUGAGUGAUGAAGGUCUUCGGAUCGUAAAACUAUGUUAUUAGGGAAGAAAAAAUGUGUAAGUAACUAUGCACGUAUUGACGGUACCUAAUCAGAAAGCCACGGCUAACUACGUG